CUGUUCCCUGGAGUUCCCCUGAUCACUUCAUCGGGGAUAUUUUACAACCCUAGACACAGGGAAUUUGAUCCUACUGAAGUGUUUGGGGGAACUCUGGGAGAUAG
rfam:Gossypium raimondii Chr13_contig_308, whole genome shotgun sequence.